GACAGAGGUGCCGAGCGUAGGCGGAAUCACUGGGCUUAAAGCGUGUGUAGGCGGGUCGUUAAGUGCCUUGUGAAAUCCCACCGCUCACCGGUGGAACUGCUUGGCAUACUGGGCGAUCUUGACCACUUAGGGGCAACCGGAACAAACGGUGGAGCGGUGAAAUGCGUAGAUAUCGUUUGGAACGCCAAUGGUGAAAACAGGUUGCUGGGAGUGUGCUGACGCUGAGACACGAAGCCAGGGGAGCAAACGGG
rnacentral:rRNA from 1 species